rnacentral:rRNA from 1 species
UACGUAGGGGGCAAGCGUCGUCCGGAAUCAUUGGGCGUAAAGCGCGUGUAGGCGGCCAGAAAAGUCCGCUGUGAAAACUCGAGGCUCAACUUCGAGCUGUCGGUGGAAACUUUCUGGCUAGAGUCCGGAAGAGGAGAAUGGAAUUCCUGGGUGUAGCGGUGAAAUGCGCAGAUAUCAGGAAGAACACCCGUGGCGGAAGGCGGUUCUCUGGGACGGUACUGACGCUGAGACGCGAAAGCGUGGGGAGCGAACAGG